GGGUCAGUGGGUUGGUCGUGCCACCGGUACGUACUGGUCUCACUGAUUCCUCCUUCCUGAAGAACCGUAAUGCCAUUAAUUUGGUGUUGCGGGGAAACAGGACUGUUACUUUGAAAAAAUUAGAGUGUUUAAAGCAAGCUAACGCUUGAAUACAUUAGCAUGGAAUAAUGAAAUAGGACGAUCGAUCCUAUAUUGUUGGUUUCUAGGAUUGACGUA
rnacentral:rRNA from 1 species